rnacentral:rRNA from 1 species
AAUCAACGCUGGCGGCGCGCUUAACACAUGCAAGUCGAACGAGAAAGCCGGGGCAACCUGGUGAGUACAGUGGCGUACGGGUGAGUAACACGUGGAUCAUCUACCCUGGAGUGGGGAAUAACGCUGGGAAACCGGCGCUAAUACCGCAUAAUCCCGAGAGGGCAAAGGAAGCAAUUUCGCUUCAGGAGGAGUCCGCGGCCGAUUAGCUUGUUGGCAGGGUAAAAGCCUACCAAGGCAUCGAUCGGUAGCCGGCCUGAGAGGGCACACGGCCACACUGGCACUGAAACACGGGCCAGACUCCUACGGGAGGCAGCAGUGGGGAAUCUUGCACAAUGGGGGCAACCCUGAUGCAGCGACGCCGCGUGAGCGAUGAAGCCCCUCGGGGUGUAAAGCUCUUUCGGCAGGGAAGAUUAUGACGUACCUGCAG